CCCUUAGAUGUUCUGGGCCGCACGCGCGCUACACUGAUGCAUUCAACGAGUCUAAAACCUGCUCUGAUAGGGGUGGGUAAUCUUUUGAAUGUGCAUCGUGAUUGGGAUAGAUGAUUGCAAUUUUUCAUCUUCAACGAGGAAUGCCUAGUAAACGCAAGUCAUCAGCUUGCAUUGAUUACGUCCCUGCCCUUUGUACACACCGCCCGUCGCUCCUACCGAUUGAAUGAUCCGAUGAAUAUCAUGGAUUGAGUAUGCAAGCAGGUUCGCCUGUCUUCAUCUUCGAGAAGUGAAGUAAAUCUUAUCAUUUAGAGGAAGGAGAAGUCGUAACA
rnacentral:rRNA from 1 species